rnacentral:lncRNA from 1 species
AAGAUAUCUUUUUUUUUACCCAGCUUGGAGAACCUUGUCUCCACAACAUAAAGAAAGAAUAAUAAAUUGUAAAAGAAAUAAUCAAAUUGAAACUGAUACAACUUCCAGGUGUUGCAAUAAAGUCGUAAAUAAAAUGUAAUGUAACCUGAAGUGAAAGACAAUGCAAGCAGACAUUGUCCUCCUCCAGGAACAGAAAUGUGUUGUUGGAUUGGGUCAGGUAUCUGCCUGGAGAUUGCCAUGAAAAAAGGACUGUCAGUCACAAAACUUGGAGGGAGAGAGAUGCAGAGAAAGUCAGAGAGAAACAAGAGAAAAAAUCUUUAGAUGAUGACCGGGUGCCAAUUGUCCACAUCAUCUAUAAUUCUAUUCGGAAAUCAUGUGAAGGAAGUCCUAGUGAAUUGUUCUUCUCAUUGUGCUAUCGAGGAAACCAGAAUACUAGGACUUUGGGAUAAUUUUCAUCCAAGGAAAAACAAGUACAUUCUGAGUGUGAAAGAAACAUUAAUUGUGAUGAUGAUGCUUAGAAAAGAAGACGAAAAGAAAAAUUAUAAUAUUAAUACAAAAACAAGGUAUUUAUUCUUCUGAUGUCAU